UUACUAGAGUAGCACUCGCAUAUCAAUAAGCGGAGGAAAAGAAACUAACAAGGAUUCCCCUAGUAACGGCGAGUGAAGCGGGAAGAGCUCAAAUUUGAAAUCUUAAAGGGUUUCCCUUUACGAAUUGUAGUUUAAAGAAGUGUUUUCUGUUGAGGUUUUGGUAAAAGUUCUUUGGAAUAGGACAUCAUAGAGGGUGAGAAUCCCGUAUUUGACCUUUACUUUCAACUUUGUGAUACACUUUCAAAGAGUCGGAUUGUUUGGGAAUGCAGUCCAAAAUGGGUGGUAAAUUUCAUCUAAAGCUAAAUAUUGGCGAGAGACCGAUAGCGAACAAGUACCGUGAGGGAAAGAUGAAAAGAACUUUGAAAAGAGAGUUAAACAGUACGUGAAAUUGUCAAAAGGGAAGCGUUUGACACCAGUGUUGUUUUUCUGAAAAUCAAUUAAAGAACUGUUUAUGCUAAGUUGUUUAGACUUUAUCAGCUAACUGUUUAGUUUUGAGCUUUUCUUUAAUGCACUUUUCAGUUAACAAGUCAACAUCAAUUUCUUUCGCUGUAAAAAAGCUUGAGGAAGGUGGCUUGAGAUUCGUCUUAAGUGUUUAUAGCCUCUUGCCUAUACAGUCGGAGAGAUUGAGGUCUGCAGCGUAGAUCCUUCGGGGCUAAAUGCAUUUGUGCUAAGUUAUAGCAUUUUAUAGACAACUUGUUGACUAUGAUUUGUCUUGUAGCUUACUCGCUUAUGUUAUUUUACCUACGCUUAGGAUGUUGAUAUCGCGCUCUCACUG
rnacentral:rRNA from 1 species